rnacentral:rRNA from 1 species
UACGUAGGGGGCAAGCGUUAUCCGGAUUUAUUGGGUGUAAAGGGAGCGCAGACGGCAGUGCAAGUCUGGAGUGAAAGCCCGGGGCCCAACCCCGGGACUGCUCUGGAAACUGUACGGCUGGAGUACGGGAGGGGCAGGCGGAAUUCCUAGUGUAGCGGUGAAAUGCGUAGAUAUUAGGAGGAACACCGGCGGCGAAGGCGGCCUGCUGGACCGAAACUGACGUUGAGGCUCGAAAGCGUGGGGAGCAAACAGG